AACUUAGGAUAACAAAAACCAAGAACCUUCAAAGUUCGAAAUAAGGGUGUAAGCCC
rnacentral:tRNA from 1 species